AUUUUGAAGAUUCCAGUUUCCAUUUUACAUGGACUUCAGCACUUUUACUUGAUUGUUUCUAGAUCAAAUAAAAUAGGUGAAAGGUUUUGGUUCUUUGCUCCAUUGUUUAACAUCUCUAGGUAUGCCUCCAGGGACUAGAGUGAAGACAAAGGAGAGAAGGUGAGGAUGGAAUCAUUAAAAAGAAAGGAGAGAUGAAGAAAAACUACAGUGGCUACCGGGUAACAUGAAUCUCAAGCACUGUCCCCAACGUCCAACCAAAAUGCUUCUUUGGGGAGGAAUCUUAAAUCCCGAAGUCCUUUUAUUUCCUAAUAUGAUUUUGGUCUUGUGAGAAACUGGACACGAAAACCUAAUGCUUCCACAGUUACAGUCUUGAAAAGUAAUGGGAAAAAGUAAGUGAACAGAGAAUUGAUAAUGAGCUAACCACCGUUGAAGUUCUGCGAUCCAAAAGCUGGGAAACACCUGAAGAGUGGCCGAGAGUCCGCUGGGAGAGAGGCGGGGGCCGGAGAGCGCGAGGAAAGCCCCCGGAGCCCCCUGCUCCGCCUGCACCCCCUCCCCGCGGGAUUCCGGCGCUCAGACCCCGGGGGGCUGAACGUCUCUCCCGCAGGUGGGACCUACCCCGGCUGCAGCGCAGAGCUGGCGCCUGUCCGCGCGCUCCGGGGCCCCCCGGCCCUGCACGGGGUGUUCCUUCCUACCCAAUAAUCCAAGUUGACUUUCCCUCUUUGCGCUUCGAGGGGCUGGAGAAGCAGCCGCGGGCGAGCGAAGGCGGACUGGAGCGCUCCCAUCUUCCUCCCCCCUCCUCCAACCCUGGCACUGAGAGGGGGGGGAAAAGUCAUCUGCUGUAGUGCGCGCACCAUCAGGAUCCUUUCCCACUCCGUCCUCCCGACUCCGGCCACCUCGCAGGAAAAUAAUAGCUUCGGCCACACUGGCUUUCCAGUUCUGCUUUCCGGAUGACUGCGUUUCUUUGCUCCUCUCUCCCGUCGGAGACCAUCUGAAACUGCCCCCAAGUUGCGUUCCCAGGAUCCCCCCACCCCCCGGAUUCGACUCGGGGACUAAAGAGCAAACUCACUUCGGCGUCCCUCGCUUUCAAGAGAAGCGUCACUCAGUAAUAGAACACUUCUGGAACUAUUUCCCACUAUGAAGAAUAUUAUUUUAAAAAAGAAAAGAAACCACCUCAAGAACCGUUUAACAACGCUAGUGAAAUUCAGAAGCCAACUAUUCACACCCAGUCGCAGGAUUCUAUUUGUUCAGCAUUUUGCCCAGUUUUGCUGAAAGAAAGAAAUUUCGAUUUCUUUACUCUGCUUUGCGAAGACGUGACCAGCCCCAAAUAUCCUUAGCUGGACUCUUCUAGCACUCUUUUAACUUAAAUAAAUUCAAGAGGCACUU